AAGAUUAAAACUAUCAAUGAUGAAAUCAUCAUAACAAGCCCCAAAAAAAUUCACAAGGGUUCAGCUUUUACUCACUGUGCGCGAAAAAUAGAGUUGAGAGGCUGAACCUGCAGAAGUGAAGGGAGAAUAGAUGUCAGAACCCACUUUCUCAUAGCUGCUAAUCUUUUAGUUAGGGAGACAAAUAAAACGAGUUAUGAUAAUAAAUACAAUGCAUUAAAACACUAUAAACCUCUUUUAAGCCAACGAUAUAAAACUAAUACAUUAUGCUCACUCAACUCUAAUAGCCAUGGACUUUUUAAACCUUUGCAAUUUUGUUCAAGUUCACUGUGCUAUGUAACAAGCUAAUGCAGCUGUAGGAUCGGUAAGUUGCGUAAGAUAGUUUUUAACCUCCUAGCUUGAAGAUGUUUUGUAUAAUUAUACAGAAACAGCCUGAUUCUGACAACGAUCCUACCCAAAAUAGCCAAGUCUUCAAUAAUAAUCAUCUCAGAUGAAAGGUAAAUGGCUGAUUAUUUGAGAAACAGGUUGUAAAAGUGGUGCCAAUUUACGGGGCUAUAGCAGUAAGUCUUGAUAGGACCUUCUUUUCCUGCCAAGAAAAAUUCACAAGACCUUCAAAAGAAAGAACACUAUUUCCACUAUUAUUAUCUUUUCCGUAUUCUCCUUAUCUUCAGAAAGGGACCAAGCAAGUAUGCUUUAAAUUUGGCUCUCGCAACCUACAAUACCACAAAGGACCAUAUAAACCAAUAUGACUAUUUUUAUAACUGAGCUCAGUUCCUGAAAGUUCCCAAUGACCUUGUGAACUCAAUGGAGUUUAACAAUUGACUAGAAGAGUGAUAACAUAUCUAUUCCCAUCCAUCUCAACAAUUCAGAAGGAUGCUAGAGGAAGUUAUCAAAUAAUUUUUAUUGGAAAUAUGGUCUCAGGAUACAUAAUCAAGUUAGUUGUUAAAAGUUUGGCGACCGUGGUCAAUAACCUGAAGAAUGUAGAGUUGACUCAAAGAAAGAAAAGGUUAAGCAAAGUAGUUAGUGCCAUAUAGUACAUGCUACAGAGAUGCAAUUGCUACCAGUAAUUAUAAGAUAUCAAUUUGUUUUGUAAGAAAAAAAGAUGAACUGUUGAAGGCAUAUGCUUCCACUCCAGCAAUUAAAGUAAUCUCAAAUCGGAUUUAAAAGUAGAUUUCAUACAAUAAAC
rnacentral:lncRNA from 1 species